GUUCUGCUCUAUUACCAUCUUGCCUGCACCAAGUUCUGGGAAUCCAUUGUAGAGCAUUGGAAGAAGAGAAAUGAUUUUAUUUGUUAACCUUUGCUUGCUGGGACUACUGGGAAAGACAGCUUUCUUAGAACUGCUGGAACAGAUAAUCAGCGUAACCAAUGCUCAUCCUGAUCUACUGCACUGA
rnacentral:lncRNA from 1 species